rnacentral:lncRNA from 1 species
AGAACCAUUAUCUGAAUCCAUUCCAUUUACAUCAGAAGAGCCCAUAUCAAAGUCUUCAAGUAUUUCUGGUGACUCUUCAGAAUCACAAUGAGUUACACAACCAGGAUUAAACCUGACACGUUUCUGCGCCUUCACAACCGAGGUAUUGUCUUUCCUUUUCAAUAUAGACUUUGGCUGGCCAACAUCUUCAGGUGAUUUAACAAGCUGCUCCUUAACUUGUGAAGCAGAAGCCGCAGGAGAAUUCAAUUUUCGAGCUUCAGCAUCAUCCUCUUUCAGCCUAAGUCUUGCAGCCAGAAAAUUGGCACGUGGAUCUUUAUUGCUACCAUGAAGCACAUUGUGGG